rnacentral:rRNA from 1 species
GAUUUCUGACAUUGGUGCACCUGGCCCGCCACGGUUACGUGUGUGAGUGCCGGGAUGCGCCUGUCACUUUUCUGUGUUCACCAUUGUGCUCUUCACUGAGUGUGAUUGGCUGAGUCAGAUAUUUUACUUUGAAAAAAUUAGAGUGUUUAAAGCAGGCUUGCGGCUAUGAAUACAUUAGCAUGGAAUAAUAAUUUAGGACUUUUGUCUUAUUUUGUUGGUUUCUAGGACUUAAGUAAUGAUUGAUAGGGACAGUUGGGGGUGCUAGUAUUCAGCGGCCAGAGGUGAAAUUCUUGGAUUCGCUGAAGACUAACUUAUGCGAAAGCAUU